UACGUAGGGGGCGAGCGUUGUCCGGAAUCAUUGGGCGUAAAGCGCGUGUAGGCGGUUCGGUAAGUCUGCUGUGAAAGUCCAGGGCUCAACCCUGGGAUGCCGGUGGAUACUGCCGAACUAGAGUGCGGAAGAGGCGAGUGGAAUUCCUGGUGUAGCGGUGAAAUGCGCAGAUAUCAGGAGGAACACCAAUGGCGAAGGCAGCUCGCUGGAACGGUACUGACGCUGAGGAGCGAAAGCCAGGGGAGCAAACGGG
rnacentral:rRNA from 1 species